UUACGACCAUAUCACGUGGUAACCAACGGUUCCCGUACGAUCACAGAAGUUAAGCAAUGCCGAGUCUGAUCAGUAUCUAGAUGAGUGAUCGUUUGGGAAUAUUCGAUGCUGUAAG